rnacentral:rRNA from 1 species
CGCGGUAUUUUGACUGUGCGAAGGUAGCAUAAUCAUUUGUCUUUUAAUUGAAGACUUGUAUGAAUGGCUGAACGAGAAAAUAACUGUCUCUUUAAAAAAUCUUGAAUUUUACUUUUAAGUGAAAAGGCUUAAAUAAUUUUAAAGGACGAUAAGACCCUAUAAAUCUUUAUAUUAUUUUUCUUUAACUUUCAAAUUAUAUAUUAAAAGAAAAUAAAAGAAAAAAAUAUUAUAUUGGGGAGAUAAAAAUAUAAUUUUUUUUAACUGUUUUAUAUAUAAAACAAUAAUUUUUGAUUUAUUAAAAAUUGAUCCUUUUUAAAGAUUUUAAGAUUAAGUUACUUUAGGGAUAACAGCGUAAUUUUUUUUGAGAGUUCUUAUCGAAAAAAAAGUUUGCGACCUCGAUGUUGAAUUAAAAUAUCCUUAUAAGUGCAGAAGCUAUAAAGGAAAGUCUGUUCGACUUUUAAAAUUUUACAU